rnacentral:lncRNA from 1 species
AAGGAUUUACUGUUCUUAACUGGUAAUUCUAGUAAUUAAAAAAAUUUAACAAGUUAUAAAACCUUGGUUUUUAUCAAUUGUGUUGAUUGACUUCUAUCCUCAAGGUACUUUAUUAGUAUAAUUAUAUUAUUAAGGUGCUAAACUAAAGCUCUGAUACCAUUAUUGAAGUGGGGUCCCGAUCAAGGUUUCUAAAAGCCAAAAUAACAACGAG